GAGUUGAUCCUGGCUCAGAUUGAACGCUGGCGGCAGGCCUAACACAUGCAAGUCGAGCGGCAGCGGAAAGUAGCUUGCUACUUUGCCGGCGAGCGGCGGACGGGUGAGUAAUGUCUGGGAAACUGCCCGAUGGAGGGGGAUAACUACUGGAAACGGUAGCUAAUACCGCAUAACGUCUNCGGACCAAAGUGGGGGACCUUCGGGCCUCACACCAUCGGAUGUGCCCAGAUGGGAUUAGCUAGUAGGUGGGGUAACGGCUCACCUAGGCGACGAUCCCUAGCUGGUCUGAGAGGAUGACCAGCCACACUGGAA
rnacentral:rRNA from 1 species